rnacentral:rRNA from 1 species
GAUGAACGCUGGCGGCGUGCCUAAUACAUGCAAGUCGAGCGAAGCGGGGACGGGUGAGUAACACGUGGGUAACCUCCUAUAAGACUGGGAUAACUUCGGGAAACCGGAGCCAAACCGGCUACUGUUCGCUGGAUCCACGCUGGAUUAGCUAGUUGGGUAGGUAACGGCUUACCAAGGCAACGACGCAUAGCCGACCUGAGAGGGUGAUCGGCCACACUGGAACUGAGACACGGUCCAGACUCCUACGGGAGGCAGCAGUGGGGAAUCUUCCGCAAUGGGCGAAAGCCUGACGGAGCAACGCCGCGUGAGUGAUGAAGGUCUUCGGAUCGUAAAACUCUGUUAUUAGGGAAGCGGUACCGAAUCAGAAAGCCACGGCUAACUACGUGCCAGCAGCCGCGGUAAUAC